AUACAAAUGAAUUUACAGCUGCCAUGACCCCAGGAGACAGCCAUUUUUCCGUACCUCCUCACAGCAAACAACCAUUGGAAUUGUACCAUUUGUACCGUGGAGCAGGAUUUCCUUGGACAUUGCAGUCAAUCAAGGCACUCUUCCCUUCCUUGACUGUAAUAUGAUCAACUAUGGAGAUAAUCACAGUCAAAUGUGAAGAAUAUCUACUUUGAAAAUACAGCAUCAAGAGUGCGGAAGGUUUCCUGAGGAGUGCUAAAUACUUUCCAGGGUGCAAGGGUCAGGCAUUUCUGAAAAAUCCUAAACAGUGUUUUGGAUUUGGGGCUUGGGCAACAAAUGUUUUCAGACACUACAAAAGACACCAAGGUAACUAAACAUUGUAGGAAAUCCUCUUCUGUCUGUGCCAAAGUGCUAUUAGAGAGGAACAAAGAAUGGAAACACAAAAUAAGUUCUGAUUAAGACCCCCACAGCUGCAGAUUGAAUCUGAUCCUCCAGUCCUCACUCAGUUCCAAGUUUCCAUUGAGUUCAUUAGGCCCAAACCCAGCAUCCUGAAAUGUUUUCCGACCUCUCCUCAAAUCCCAACAGCUGAAGCAGUACACUUUAAGUACACAAAUUAAUCCCAUCCUUUUUAUGAGACCCAAUAACUGUGAUGUUAGCAUUUUUGUCACUGAAUGGGGAAAAAUUAUAAAUGAUUAAUCUUUGUCACUGUAAAUAAUGUAUUUAUUUCUGUCUUUGGCAUAUGAACAGACACAUCUGUAUAAGCCAAUUAUUAAAUUAAUCAGACUUCAAGUCUAAAGAAGUUUUUAAAAAAGUCUACUUGUAUGGCCAAAUUAUCUCCUUCCUGUGGAAAGGGGAAAGAACUUCUUUAGCUGUGCUGUGUUACCUCCUUGGAAGUAUUAGUCGGGACAGAGAGAAGAUAUGAUCACCUACUAGGAUGGAAGCUGAAGAUCCAUGAGGAAUCUCAGCAUUCACUCGAGGGCUCUUGGCACACACAUGUGCAGCAUCUGCCCCUCCACGUGCUGUUCUGGGCAACCUUUCUCACAGCAACGCGUUUAC